UACGUAGGGACCGAGCGUUGUCCGGAUUUAUUGGGCGUAAAGAGCUCGUAGGCGGUGUGUCGCGUCGGCCGUGAAAACCUGCAGCUUAACUGUGGGCUUGCGGUCGAUACGGGCAUCACUGGAGUUCGGCAGGGGAGACUGGAAUUCCUGGUGUAGCGGUGAAAUGCGCAGAUAUCAGGAGGAACACCGGUGGCGAAGGCGGGUCUCUGGGCCGAUGCUGACGCUGAGGAGCGAAAGCGUGGGGAGCGAACAGG
rnacentral:rRNA from 1 species